rnacentral:misc_RNA from 1 species
UACAACCAAAAAUAGGAAAAAGUAAAAGAGAUGAUAGACUUCACUCUGGUAAAGAAGCAAGAGAAACCGACGUUUUGAGGAUAUCAAUCAUUUAAUGGAACGAACAAUGUAAGUUUCAAUAAGAGUUGCUCACAUCUGUCUAUGUAUUGGACAAGCGUACAUAGAAAUUAGCAUAAAAAUCGUAAUCUCAAAUUUUCUGGUAAACAGUACAUCAAAUUAAAACCAGCAGAGAUGAUUGUUACUCUUAGAUACAUGCAGUGAUUCAGAUCCAGAAUUAUCUUUCAACAUCCUGGUGACUUUUUUAAAGAUCAACCAAACUAUUUCAUGUAUUUCUGCAGGAAUUUUCGGUGGAAGUCAUUCCGGAUAGUGUCAUUGAUGAAGCGCUUAGGAGUUUUGGUUUCACCUCGAGCCUGGUUCUUAAAGACCACAUCAUCAUCCCACCUCCUUUUCACAUUAAAAGAUGUUGGAUUAUUAAGUAGUGGAUUUCCUCGGAGAAGCUGCUCUUCCUUGGCUUUUAGCUCUUCAGCUGCCCGUUGUUGUUCCUACAAAAAUAUUAACAUUAGUUAUUGGUAAUGUAACCAAAGCAACUGGCUAAUUAGCACAAUUUGCGUAACCUAGAAUAAAAUAUUCAGGCAUGAUAGCUUUAUUCGUUACUUCCCACCAAAAAACUCCAUGACCUUAAUGGUGCCAACUUGGGAAUUCUGAAUAAUGGCCUGAUGUUUAAAUAUGAACAUCCAGAAACACACUGUAUCACUAUAAAAAUCCUGGAUGAAAUUAAGUUUACCUGCCGCAACUGCUCCUCUGCUCUUUCCUUCUUUAUUCGUUCAAGCUCAGCCAUAAGAGCUUCUGUGUCAUCCUCAUCAUCAUCGUCGUCAUCAUCAUCAUCAUCA